CCCUCUAUAAGGUACUCUCACAGGCCCAUCACAGCCCAACACAUGCAACAACUUCAUCCUACUGCAAAUGUAACGAAGAGACCUUCCCUAUAGCAGACCUUAAACCCUACUAUGAAGCAUUGAACCUCUAAUUUGCUGCUUCUAAUCUGCCAGAAAUUCGCCGGAAUCCGCCAAGCGCCACCAGAAAUGGCGUCAAUAGUAUCAGAAACGGUUCCAAAGUUCACUGCUGAAGCACUCAAAUCCGCAGCUAAACAAUCUGAACGUUGCCAUAUUGUUCCUCUCCGCCUUCGUAGAGCUAUCAAAAAGUACCUCC
rnacentral:lncRNA from 1 species